rnacentral:lncRNA from 1 species
AUGGUUAAUCUCCCCUUUGCUGACAACAUGGCCCACAAGACGGGACUGGCGCGAUGGGCACAUCGGGCUGGACAUGCCGGAGAUUCGCCCGAUGGAGCUGCCGCGUCCAUGCUGAGGUGGAAGAUCCUCCCGUCGUCAGCGCAAAGGAUGGUCGGCGACUGGACGGGCACCACCACCGCCGAGGGGGCCCCUGUCAUAUCGCGUGGUCAGGUGGCACCCCAGGAAGUCGGCUAUAGGCGGAGAAGCUGCAGCGGCAGAUCGGGCAGAAGCAGGACUCGUGCUCGCAGGAAUGACGGACAGCCAUACUUGUGGUUCUUGCAAGAGAUGGGGAAGGAAGAAUAUAAGGUAAGGUGAAAGGAAGAAG